rnacentral:rRNA from 1 species
CCCCUAGAUGUUCUGGGCCGCACGCGCGCUACACUGAACAGUUCAACAAGUCUUAACCUUGGCCGAUAGGUCUGGGUAAUCUUUGAACGCUGUUCGUGACUAGGAUAGACCUUUGCAAUUAUGGGUCUUCAACGAGGAAUUCCUAGUAAACGCAAGUCAUCAGCUUGCAUUGAUUACGUCCCUGCCCUUUGUACACACCGCCCGUCGCACCUACCGAUUGAAUGGUCCGGUGAAAUCUCGGGACGGCGGCUUGGUCGCUUGCGUCCGACUGCUGAAACUUGAUUAAACCAUAUCAUUUAGAGGAAGGUGAAGUCGUAACA